rnacentral:rRNA from 1 species
UCUGGUGACUAUAGUGGAAGUGUAACACCCGAUCCCAUUCCGAACUCGGCAGUUAAGCCUUCUAACGUCGAUGAUACUAAGGCCCGGAGCCUUGGGAAAGUAGAAAGUCGCCAGGC